rnacentral:misc_RNA from 1 species
GAUGAGAACGUAGUGAAAUGCGAUACGUAAUGUGAAUUGCAGAAUUCAGUGAAUCAUCGAGUCUUUGAACGCACAUUGCGCCCCCUGGUAUUCCGGGGGGCAUGCCUGUCCGAGCGUCAUUGCUGCCCUCAAGCACGGCUUGUGUGUUGGGCCUCCGUCCUCCUCCCGGGGGACGGGCCCGAAAGGCAGCGGCGGCACCGCGUCCGGUCCUCGAGCGUAUGGGGCUUCGUCACCCGCUCUUGUAGGCCCGGUCGGCGCUUGCCGACACAUCAAUCUUUUUUCCAGGUUGACCUCGGAUCAGGUAGGGAUACCCGCUGAACUUAAGCAUAUCAAUAAGCGGAGGA